rnacentral:rRNA from 1 species
CGGACGGGUGAGUAACGCGUGGAUAACCUGCCUCACACUGGGGGAUAACAGUUAGAAAUGACUGCUAAUACCGCAUAAGCGCACAGUACCGCAUGGUACGGUGUGAAAAACUCCGGUGGUGUGAGAUGGAUCCGCGUCUGAUUAGCCAGUUGGCGGGGUAACGGCCCACCAAAGCGACGAUCAGUAGCCGACCGGAGAGGGUGACCGGCCACAUUGGGACUGAGACACGGCCCAA